rnacentral:lncRNA from 1 species
GGCCGGAGUGUCUUCUGGCCAAUCAGGCCAGAAGAGGGUGUAUCCUCCAGCCAUUCAGCGCCUGGGGGGAAUCUCUGGGCCAAUCAGGGAUUUGGGCUUCUAUGUGGUUAAUCAGGUGUUGAGGGUAUUUCUUGUCAGUCAGGGUCUGAGCAGAGUCAAUCAGGGUAUUUCUGAGUAAUCUGAGGCUGAGGUCAUGUCCUUUCCCAUGAGGCCUUGGUUCAGAGCCCCAGGAUGGACCCCAGAUCACGUCCUGUUGGUUGGGACAGUGGGGUCUUGUCCCAAGGAGCUGGGAACCUUGUGUUGUCCCCUCACUUCCCAGAGCCAGAAAGAGGUUGCAUGGGGGUGGGAGCUGUCUGGAGGCUGGUGUCGGGUCUUGGCUCUGCCUUGAGUGACCUUGGACGAACCCUCUCUGGGCAUUGUUCUGUCUGUGUCAGGUCCGAGAACCCUCCCACCUUCCUCAGCAACCACCUUGGGCCUGUCCUCCUGGGUCUGCCUUCCGUUAAGCCUGGACUCCUCCAGCCACACCCUUUGCUGGGGUGCUCAGCUCCUGAGAGUCUGGGGUUCCCUUUCCCUCCUCCUCCUGGAAACUUGAAGGUAUUUUUACGCAAGCUCCCUCAGGCUUUGGGAUUUUGAAAGGAAAGGAUAAACUUUUGGCGGUUUUCUUAGCCCCGCUGUCCAGCUGCCAUUAGCUUGGCUCUUAAAGAGCCAGGCCCCCUUUUCUGCCAUCCAGCAGUGAGGUUUUCCACCUGUUUCAGGAGCUUUGGGGGCUGAGAAAGGGGGGAUCCCAGCCCAACUGAGAUUUCCUGCAGCCCUUUUGUCUUCAGCUGCUGGGGCCUCCCCCUCGCUGGGCCUGGAAAGGCUCAAGGGGACUGGGAGCUGUCACCUGGGUUCUGUCCCCUCACUCUACACCAGGCACUUUAUUGCUGGGCCUCAGUGGGGUGGGUUUCCCCACGCUGCUCUUCUGGAGUCUUGAAGGAAAGACUGGAGGGCUUCCUGGUGGAGGCUGUGGAAUGGGAGGGGUCAGGUGGAGGAGGAGGAGGCCAGCAGUGAGCCAUUGCACAUUGGGGCCCAGGUUGGGGCAGGGGGGGAUGUUGGCCACUACCCUAACCUUGGUUUUGUAAUGAUUUGUACAGGAAUAAACACACCUAAGCUCUGGCUCCGUUUCCUGUG